rnacentral:rRNA from 1 species
UACGUAGGGUGCAAGCGUUGUCCGGAUUCACUGGGUGUAAAGGGUGCGCAGGCGGGAGAGUAAGUCAGAGGUGAAAUCUCACAGCUUAACUGUGAAACUGCCUUUGAUACUGCUUUUCUUGAGUUCGGGAGAGGUUGAUGGAAUUCCAGGUGUAGCGGUGAAAUGCGUAGAUAUCUGGAAGAACACCAGUGGCGAAGGCGGUCAACUGGCCCGUAACUGACGCUCAGGCACGAAAGCGUGGGUAGCGAACAGG